rnacentral:lncRNA from 14 species
CUUCUGUUCUCCUGUCCCCGGGGCACCCAAGCCUUGUAUCCAGAGUCACUCAGAGGGGAGGUGUGGGGCCGCCGCUGACUUCUUUGACAGAUCUGGCAGAGGACACGUCAUUAUCUGAAACGGUAUUGGACUUGGAGAGAGAGAGAGAGAGAGAGAGAGAGA